UUCCGGUUAUCCCGCCGGAAGUUACUGCUAUCGAGGUUCGACUAAGCCAUGCGAGUCGAAUGUAGCAAUACAUGGCGAACUGCUCAGUAACACGUGGACAACCUGCCCUUAGGACGGGGAUAAACCCGGGAAACUGGGUAUAAUACCCGAUAGGUCUCGAUUGCUGGAAUGCAUCGAGAUUUAAAGCUCCGGCGCCUAAGGAUGGGUCUGCGGCCUAUCAGGUAGUAGUGGGUGUAGCGUACCUACUAGCCUACGACGGGUACGGGUUGUGAGAGCAAGAGCCCGGAGAUGGAUCCUGAGACACGAAUCCAGGCCCUACGGGGUGCAGCAGGCGCGAAAACUUUACAAUGCUGGCAACAGCGAUAAGGGAACCUCGAGUGCCAGGUUACAAAUCUGGCUGUCGAGAUGCCUAAAAAGCAUUUCAUAGCAAGGGCCGGGCAAGACCGGUGCCAGCCGCCGCGGUAACACCGGCGGCUCGAGUGGUAACCGUUAUUAUUGGGUCUAAAGGGUCUGUAGCCGGCCGGAUAAGUCUCUUGAGAAAUCUGGCAGCUUAACUGUCAGGCUUUCAGGAGAUACUGUCUGGCUCGAGGCCGGGAGAGGUGAGAGGUACUUCAGGGGUAGGGGUGAAAUCUUGUAAUCCUUGAAGGACCACCAGUGGCGAAGGCGUCUCACCAGAACGGACCUGACGGCAAGGGACGAAAGCUAGGGGCACGAACCGGAUUAGAUACCCGGGUAGUCCUAGCCGUAAACGAUACUCGCUAGGUGUCGGCCACGGUGCGACCGUUGUCGGUGCCGUAGGGAAGCCGUGAAGCGAGCCACCUGGGAAGUACGGCCGCAAGGCUGAAACUUAAAGGAAUUGGCGGGGGAGCACCACAACGGGUGGAGCUUGCGGUUUAAUUGGAUUCAACGCCCGGG
rnacentral:rRNA from 1 species